rnacentral:ncRNA from 1 species
CUUAUCGGUGACGGGGAAUCAGGGUUCGAUUCCGGAGAGGGAGCCUGAGAAACGGCUACCACAUCCAAGGAAGGCAGCAGGCGCGCAAAUUACCCAUUCCCGACGCGGGGAGGUAGUGACGAAAAAUAACAAUGCAGGACUCGUUCGAGGCCCUGUAAUUGGAAUGAGUACACUUUAAAAGCUUUAACGAGUAUCCAUUGGAGGGCAAGUCUGGUGCCAGCAGCCGCGGUAAUUCCAGCUCCAAAAGUAUAUAUUUAAGUUGUUGCGGUUAAAAAGCUCGUAGUUGGAUUUUGGGCGCAGGCGGCCGGUCCGUCGCAAGGCGUGUACUGGACGUCCUGGCCUUCCCUCCGGUUCUCCGCCGGUGCUCUUGACUGAGUGUCGGCGGCGGCCGGAACGUUUACUUUGAAAAAAUUAGAGUGUUCAAAGCAGGCUCUCGAGCCUGGAUAAUGGUGCAUGGAAUAAUGGAAUAGGACCUCGGUUCUAUUUUGUUGGUUUUCGGAGCGCGAGGUAAUGAUUAAGAGGGACAGACGGGGGCAUUCGUACUGUGCCGUUAGAGGUGAAAUUCUUGGAUCGGCGCAAGACGAACGACUGCGAAAGCAUUUGCCAAGAAUGUUUUCUUUAAUCAAGAGCGAAAGUCAGAGGUUCGAAGACGAUCAGAUACCGUCCUAGUUCUGACUAUAAACGAUGCCAACUAGCGAUCUGGGGGGCGUUACAUUGACGACCCCUCCGGCAGCUUACGGGAAACCAAAGUCUUUGG